rnacentral:tRNA from 1 species
GCCUGGCUGGCUCAGUUGGCAGAGUAUGCAACUCUUGAUCUCAGGGUCGUGGGUUCAAGCCCCACAUUGGGUA